UGCGCCAGGAGCCGCGCCGGCCGGGAGUUGGGUGAGCUGGGGGGCGCCCGCGCCCGCGCGCCGCCCGCCCUAGCUGGGCUAGUGCUGCACAUUCCAGCCAGCCCCCUCCCCAAGACCCCAUUCCCAAUUCCCUUCUCAGCUCCCUCGGGCCGGCAGGGCGGCUCUGAUCAGUAAAAUGCUGUUGAAGACCCACGGACAUGACUGCACCCCUCACUAACUGAUCACUGGUUUGGGGAGGAACACCAAUGUCCCAGUGGAACCUUGAGAACACCUUGGAGUCCUCCUCUUCCUCUCUGGACCUGAGCCAAACUGUGAGUGGCACAGAGCAAGGACCAUAUGUAUUCUGUUCACUGUUGCAUUCUCAGUUCAUUGACCACAGUGCCAAGCACACAGUGAGCACUCCCUGUGUAUCUGCUGAGUAAAUAAACGAACAAACCCAA